UUCUGCCUUCACACUACACAUAUAUAGAUUCUUCAAAGGAAUUGGAUGCUGAUAAUAUCAACUUAGUUCCCUGAAUGUGAUAUAUAUAUUCUUCCCUCGCUUUGAAUUGAUUGCCCCAAACAAUAUAUCUCUGGUUGACAGCCAUGGCCUAUUAUUAUUGUUGUUUUACAACACUCUGCGCUGUAUUGUCCAAUCAUGGUCCAAACUUAAAACUUGGCUGUGGAUUCAUUGUAUGUACCAUAUGCUGUUCAUAGCUACAAAAUUGCAAUCUCUUGAAAAUGUUCUUGAAUACAGUAAUUUUUUUGUCACAUAACCCAUAUGCUGAUGAUAAAGUUUGUUGUAUGAGCUUGUGGCAUACUGAUCCGACAGGUGGCAGGUAUGCAUUCAGAUGUUGCAGCUCUAAGGAAGGGUAGUAUAUGGCACAUGGCUUCGUGGGUUGUUCGACAAGAAGUGUUUUGGGCAUAUUCGAAAGGCAAUCUUGUCAAAAUUGUACAUCGAUUUUCUUAUUCCGCCAUCAGCUUCUAUUGAUAUGAGCGAUACAAAAAGUUCAGCACUGAAUUUUAGUAUGUUAACUUGCAAGAUUUCUCGUGACUAUGUUUUUUUGUGCAAGGUUUAUAAAUUUCAAAAUAUAGUUGCAGCUUCACGGAAUGGACGGCCCAAAUUAUGUUAGUGUCUAUAUGUUUACUUGGUGGUGGUCUAGCGUGAGUGACACCUGCAUCUGUAACUUACCCAUUGGAUGUUGUUCGAAAUCACCUGACAACACAGAAAACCACUAGGAUUACAAGGUAAUCUUUCACACGUUGUCUACAAUUUGUAGAGAAGAGAGUGGUAGAGGAUUGUAUAAAGGCCUUUGGUCCACCUUAUUGGGAGUUGGACCUGAUAUAUCAAUCAACGUUUAUGUAUAUGAAUCCCUGAGGUCUCAUUGGCAAAUGGAAAGUUGAAUGUCAAACUGUGCGACCAAUGAUUUGCUAUGGUUAAUUCCAGUUGGGUGUGUUAACCUACAGUAAUCAAUCAAGUCAACAAAUAUAACAAUGAUACUUUGUCUUCUGAUUUUUGGUGGUGAUUUUUUUUUGUGACUGAACUAACAGGAGCUGAAGCAUGUGUUCUUAUUUUUUUAUAUGACUAGAUGCAUAUGAACUGAAGCUCCAUAAUUUUCUUUUCAAGUCGACAUUGGUGGCAACCAAUACAAUUAGCGUUAUUUACAACCAAUGAAGUCUUAUAAUUUUCUUUCUUAGAAAUAUACAGUGACACUGACUAUCAUUUAGUAGCUCUACAGGCACUAGCCAAAAACAAUAAAGUUUAUUUAUUUAACCACCAAAUAGAACAAUAGGUUAUUCUGCAUUAUGGGUACACAAAUCACAACACUAUAUUUCAGCUGUAGAAAUCUGUGUGGAUGCCUGCUGAUAUUUUAAGCCUACAUAUUGCCGAUUUGGUUUGAGGAAUGCUUGAA